rnacentral:rRNA from 1 species
UACGUAGGGGGCAAGCGUUGUCCGGAAUCAUUGGGCGUAAAGAGCGUGUAGGCGGCUUGGUAAGUCCGCUGUGAAAGUCCAGGGCUCAACCCUGGAAUGCCGGUGGAAACUGUCAAGCUUGAGUCCGGAAGAGGCGAGUGGAAUUCCACGUGUAGCGGUGAAAUGCGUAGAUAUGUGGAGGAACACCAGUGGCGAAGGCGACUCUCUGGUCUGUAACUGACGCUGAGGCGCGAAAGCGUGGGGAGCAAACAGG